rnacentral:tRNA from 1 species
GCCUGGGUGGCUCAGUUGGUUAAGCAUCUGACUUCAGCUCAGGUCAUGAUCUCACGGUUCAUGGGUUCGAGCCCCAUUUCAGGCU